UGAACGCUGGCGGCAUGCCUUAACACAUGCAAGUCGAGCGGUAACGACACUAACAAUCCUUCGGGUGCGUUAAUGGGCGAAGAGCGGCGGACGGAUGAGUCAUGCCUAGGAAAUUGCCUUGCAUGUGGGGGAUAACCAUUGGAAACUAUGGCUAAUACCUGCAUGAUGCCGACGGGCCAAAGAGGGGGACCUUCGGGCCUCUCGCGUCAAAAUAUGCCUAGGUGGGAUUAACUAUUGGUGAGGUAAGAUCUCACCUNGGC
rnacentral:rRNA from 1 species